UACGUAGGGACCAAGCGUUGUUCGGAUUUACUGGGCGUAAAGGGCGCGUAGGCGGCUUGGCAAGUUGGGUGUGAAAGCCCAGGGCUCAACCCUGGAAUUGCAUUCAAGACUGCCUUGCUUGAAUUCGGUAGAGGUUGGUGGAAUUCCCAGUGUAGAGGUGAAAUUCGUAGAGAGUGGGAAGAACACCCGUGGCGAAGGCGGCCAACUGGACCGACAUUGACGCUGAGGCGCGAAAGCGUGGGGAUCAAACAGG
rnacentral:rRNA from 1 species